GCGAAAACUUUACAAUGCUGGCAACAGCGAUAAGGGAACCUCGAGUGCCAGGUUACAAAUCUGGCUGUCGAGAUGCCUAAAAAGCAUUUCAUAGCAAGGGCCGGGCAAGACCGGUGCCAGCCGCCGCGGUAACACCGGCGGCUCGAGUGGUAACCGUUAUUAUUGGGUCUAAAGGGUCUGUAGCCGGCCGGAUAAGUCUCUUGAGAAAUCUGGCAGCUUAACUGUCAGGCUUUCGGGAGAUACUGUCUGGCUCGAGGCCGGGAGAGGUGAGAGGUACUUCAGGGGUAGGGGUGAAAUCUUGUAAUCCUUGAAGGACCACCAGUGGCGAAGGCGUCUAACCAGAACGGACCUGACGGCAAGGGACGAAAGCUAGGGGCACGAACC
rnacentral:rRNA from 1 species